rnacentral:rRNA from 1 species
AUUGAACGCUGGCGGCAUGCCUUACACAUGCAAGUCGAACGGCAGCACGGGAGCAAUCCUGGUGGCGAGUGGCGAACGGGUGAGUAAUAUAUCGGAACGUGCCCAGUCGUGGGGGAUAACGUAGCGAAAGCUACGCUAAUACCGCAUACGAUCUUUGGAUGAAAGCGGGGGAUCGCAAGACCUCGCGCGGUUGGAGCGGCCGAUAUCAGAUUAGGUUGUUGGUGGGGUAAAGGCCCACCAAGCCGACGAUCUGUAGCUGGUCUGAGAGGACGACCAGCCACACUGGGACUGAGACACGGCCCAGACUCCUACGGGAGGCAGCAGUGGGGAAUUUUGGACAAUGGGCGCAAGCCUGAUCCAGCAAUGCCGCGUGCAGGAUGAAGGCCUUCGGGUUGUAAACUGCUUUUGUACGGAGCGAAACAGCUCCCUCUAAUACAGGGGGCGAAUGACGGUACCGUAAGAAUAAGCACCGGCUAACUACGUGCCAGCAGCCGCGGUAA